rnacentral:rRNA from 1 species
AACCCUUGACCUCAAAUCGGGUUGAGACUACCCGCUGAACUUAA